rnacentral:rRNA from 1 species
AUGAACGCUAGCGACAGGCUUAACACAUGCAAGUCAGGGGUAACAGGGUAGCAAUACCGCUGACGACCGGCGCACGGGUGAGUAACGCGUAUGCAACCUGCCUAGUAACUGGGGGAAUAGCUCCCUGAAAGGGGAAUUAACACCGCAUAACACUAUUGAUUCGCAUGGAUUGGUAGUAAAUGUAGCGAUACAGGUUAUAGAUGGGCAUGCGUGACAUUAGCUAGUUGGUGAGGUAACGGCUCACCAAGGCUACGAUGUCUAGGGGUUCUGAGAGGAAGGUCCCCCCACACUGGUACUGAGACACGGACCAGACUCCUACGGGAGGCAGCAGUGAGGAAUAUUGGUCAAUGGGCGCAAGCCUGAACCAGCCAUGUCGCGUGCAGGAAGAACCUGCCCUAUGGGUUGUAAACUGCUUUUAUAGUAGAAGAAACACAUCUACGUGUAGAUGUCUGCCAGUAUACUAUGAAUAAGCAUCGGCUAACUCCGUGCCAGCCGCCGC